AAGCACGAGCGUGCUUGUGUUGACUUCACGGCUAACAGGGAAAACCCUGCCUGUUGUAGGCGGUGAGAGUCGUAAGAAUGUGUUAGCAGUAAAGCCUAAAUUUAACUUCAUAAUGGCACACUACAGAAUCCAGUUUCCUCAAACAGCACUUGGGUGUGGCUGGCCAGGAGUCUGCAGACACUGAGGCACUCCAGCAGGAGCUAAGAGACAUGAAGCAAAGGUGUGAGCUGAGGAGAACAAAGGACUCAAGAACAGGCUUCAACGCUAUGAGCCUACACAAGAGGAUGGAGCUGCCGAAUAGGAAGUGCCUCGGCUUUAUUGAAGUAAUUUUGUUAAACUCAGAUUUUUAUGGCAAGUCGAAACCAACAACUGGAGGCAAGGGAUUUUAUGCACCUCUGUUCUUUUAUUUUUUUCUUUUCUACUAUGUUUAAAUAUUUAACUUAUUUUGUAUAUUUGAUAUAUUGAAAUAUAAUAGCUUUUGUCCUUUGACUGUCUCCCUCUCAUAAAAGCAAACCCCCCUUUUCUGCUUUCAGUGUACUUAGCCUACUGUACACCAAUGCUUUGUCUCUAGUAAACAAACAGUAACAUAA